rnacentral:rRNA from 1 species
GUUGACCUCGGAUCAGGUAGGAAUACCCGCUGAACUUAAGCAUAUCAAAAGCGGGGAGGAA